rnacentral:rRNA from 1 species
GAUGAACGCUGGCGGCGUGCCUAAUACAUGCAAGUCGAGCGAACAGACGAGGAGCUUGCUCCUCUGACGUUAGCGGCGGACGGGGGAGUAACACGUGGAUAACCUACCUAUAAGACUGGGAUAACUUCGGGAAACCGGAGCUAAUACUGGAUAAUAUAUUGAACCGCAUGGUUCAAUAGUGAAAGACGGUUUUGCUGUCACUUAUAGAUGGAUCCGCGCCGCAUUAGCUAGUUGGUAAGGUAACGGCUUACCAAGGCAACGAUGCGUAGCCGACCUGAGAGGGUGAUCGGCCACACUGGAACUGAGACACGGUCCAGACUCCUACGGGAGGCAGCAGUAGGGAAUCUUCCGCAAUGGGCGAAAGCCUGACGGAGCAACGCCGCGUGAGUGAUGAAGGUCUUCGGAUCGUAAAACUCUGUUAUUAGGGAAGAACAAAUGUGUAAGUAACUAUGCACGUCUUGACGGUACCUAAUCAGAAAGCCACGGCUAACUACGUG